rnacentral:rRNA from 1 species
AGCUCCAAUAGCGUAUAUUAAAGUUGUUGCAGUUAAAAAGCUCGUAGUUGAAGUUCUGACUGUUCAGGCUCUCAGCCUUGAGGCGAGGGUGCUGACAGUCAUCCGCUUGCAAAUAUAAGUUCGAUCUUCACCGGUUGGCUAUAUGAGCAAGCAUUUUACCUUGAGAAAAACAGAGUGUUCCAGGCAGGUUUGUCCGGAAUGCAUUAGCAUGGAAUAAUAGAACAUGACUGAAGUCUAUUUAUUGGUUUAAGGCUACAGUAAUGAUUAAUAGGAACAGUCGGGGGCAUUCGUACUCAGCAGUCAGAGGUGAAAUUCUAAGAUUUGCUGAAGACGAACUAAUGCGAAAGCAUUUGCCAAGGAUGUUUUCA